ensembl:lincRNA
UUCAGCUGGACUUAUACAGGACAUUGCCAUGGGAUCCAGGCCCUCAGCUGGAUUCUUUGGGUGUUUAGUGUGUGGAAAAAUCUCCUGCAUUCUUUUGUAUUUGACUCUUUGGGUGACUACUAUAAAAUAGUCCUAUAAAUUUAGUGUCCUGUAUUAAAUUAUUUCCCUUACAAACUCUGACUACAACAACAUCUCUACAUGUUUUUAACUGCUGUGCUUUCUUUCUAAAUGACUCAAUAUUUCAUGGCUAUGUCAUGCAAAUAAUUAGGUCAAAUAUUAGAAAAUAUUUCAUCUGUUCUUGUUUCAGUCGGUUUGCAAAGGAAACCCACUAGGUUUGAGAAGAGUAAAUAAUGGGCUGAAGUUAAAUAUAUACAUAUGCAUAGAUUGUAUAAGAUGUUUUGCUAACCCUGAAGGGUUAAAGAGAAUUAAAAGUUGUCAGUAUUACAAUCCAAGGCAGGAAAAUGUCAGCAAGUUAUAAGGAAUUUCCUUUCCCAUAAGCCAUUGGGACUCUGCCAAGGCUGUAGGGUAGAUGUUGCAUUAGUGGAAGACGAAUUUGAUCCAGUAAGACAUCUUCUCAAUCCUUGUGUAAGAUUAGUCUGAGUAGCAGUCACUUGGUAACAAUUUGGAAUGGAGUUUGUUAGAAAAACAUAGCUUUGUCUGGGUUGAGCCUAGAAAUGGGUGACAGAUGUUAAUGAUGAGCGACUGAACAGAUGUUUGGGGGAGAAUUACAAAAAGACUUUCUAUCACACAGGAUCUAAAUCUUAAUCUUCCUGGCUGAUGCUGAAAGAGGAGCUUGUUGGUGAAACAUGUUCUUACAAAACUGUUUGGCGGGUUGUGACAAAGACAAAUGACCGGACACUAUAAAUUUGAAAAUAAGGGAUGGAGAAGACUUAAUUCUACGUGUGGUCAGAAUAGAAGGAGCCAGCAGAUAACAAAGAUGAAGAGGGUGACUAAUGAGAUGAGGCUCUGGAGAGAUGACCAACAAGAGUGCUCUCUAGGAAAAAGGACAGAUGCCUCUUUCUCCAAGACCAUUUGCCAUUUUAACAAGGCAGAUAGUGACAACUGCAGAACCAGGCAUUCUUGUCCUUUAGUUGUCUUAGGCUCCCAUUUCUCGCUGUGAGCCUUGAUGUGAAAGGCCAGCCCUUGCGACAUAGGCAAGAUUUUCUGUUUUAGGAAGUAGUGCAAAAUGUUUGGUUACUUAGUUUAAGAAAGGAACGCAAAAAGACACAGCAAAGCAGAAAGGAAAAACCCAACACCCAGAAGCUUUCCUCUUUGUCACCUCAUUAGCUCAUAUGAGCACUCCCAGAAACAGAGAGAACAGGUCAGAAAUCCUGGACAGCUGGAUCGCUCAGCCCAGAGGAGCUUUCAACAGCCACAAGAGCUGGACAAUUACAAACUGUUAUCUUCUCCAGAUGAUUAAUGGGGUUUCCUGAGUGAAAUAGGAAGACUUAAACUUCAACAGCUCAUUUCUUCAAAUCAGGACCUUUAAAUAGGAUGCAUUGUUGCAGGGGCAAUAAAACCGUCAGAAUGUGGAUCUGGCUUUUUUCCAUCUUAUUAGGCUUGAGGUAAUUAUCCAGGUAAUUCAGGAAAAAUAAACUGCCAUUGCCUGAAUUACUCAGAUAAUUACCUCCAUGUUCCACCCCAGUCCAGAGCCAGCUAUAAAUGUCUCACGGGUCUCAGUCUGAAAACAUAAAACAGGUUUAGUAAUUAAGAAGUGAGAGUGAAAGAGCAGAGGUACUCAGCUCAAACAAUUUGAGAACAUGGGUGUUUUAGAUGAAGCUCUGUCAUGUACUACCUGCUUACUCCAGGUGAGCUGCUUUAUCUACCUGGAUGGAAUGGCAUUUGGAGAAUGGCAAACUGUAAAUUGCUAGCAACUUCAGUAAAGUUUAUUAAUUUUUUUUUAUUGGUGGUAUCAAAUGAUACAAAUUUUUAUUCUGGCAUAAAGCUGGAUAAAAAAUUAUGCUUCAUGCUGAACUGUGAAAUUUCAGUUAUAUGACAUAAGCUGCACAUUAGACUCAUCUGGGGAGUUUAAAAAAAAUACAGGAUUUUCCAGGUCCCACCCAACCCAAUUGAAGUUGAAUAUCUGGAAUUUCACCACCAACAUUUGUUAUUUUUUAAAAAGUAUAAAUCCUUGUUAAUUUUUUUUUUUUUUUUUUUUUUGGCAGUGGGGGUGAUGUUGGAGAUUGAACCUGGGGCUUCGUGCAUGUGUAAUAAAUACUCUACCGACUGAGAUGCACCCUGUGCCUCUCAGUGGGCUCUUCUAUUUUACUGUAUAUUGUAUUUGUUAUGAUACUGGUGUUUUUAUUUUUUUAAUUUUUUUUCCAGUACUGGGAAUUGAACUCACGACAUUGCGCUUGCCAGGCAGGUGCUGUGCCGCUGAGCUAAAUCCCCAGCCCCAGAUACUGGUGUUUUUAAAAUACUCUCUAGAUGAUUCUGCAUGAGAAAGAGAGAGAGAGAGAGAGAGACAGAGACAGAGACAGAGACAGAGACAGAGAGAAAAAGACAGAGAGAAGGAGACCUCACAUACAGAGAAAAAAAGAGACUUCUGUCACUGGAGGGUCAUAUCCAGGGUUUGACAAGUCUCAGAGUGGUAGCUGAAGCUCUCUGGAAACCUGUCUCUCCAGAGUUCUAGGCAGAAGGGGACUUAUUUGGCUUGGGUGUUUGUUUCCUUCCAAAAUUCAUGUUGAAACAAUCUCCAGUAUAACAAGAUUAAGAGGUGAGACCUCUAGGAAGUGACUAGGCCAUGAAGGCUGUGACUUACUGAUGGAAGUAGCACCCUUACAAAAGGUCUCAAGGAAGUGAAUUCAGCAUCUUUUUUGCAUCUUUCAUCCCUUCUGCCAUGUGAAAUUGCAGCAUCUGUCUCUCUGGAAGAUGCAGCUAAAAGGCACCAUCUUGGAGGCACAUUGGGUUCUUACCCGACACCUAACUUGCCAGCAUCUUUAUCUUGGAUUUCCAGUGUCCAGAACUGUGAAAAAAAAUGUCUGUUAUUUAUAAACCAUCGAGUCUCAGGUAUUUUUACAUACCAGCAGAAAUGGACUAAGAUAGUGUCUGAAUACCCCACUCUCUCAGUUUCAGACUUUCCUGAUCUGAAUGUCAAGGAAGGAGCUUGCUUUACCAGUCUACUGACAUCCAUCACUCCUGUACAAAAAGGCACGAGGCUCCAGUGGUGACUACUUCCCACACCAAGUUUGUUUGAGUAAGUAAAGGACUUGCCAAAGAUGCAACCUCUGCUGUCCUUUACUUCUGGAAGUUUAUAGCUGAGAAAUGACUAAGCAAUCUCUCAACAAUCUUGCAGAGAUGGGAAGAAAGUAUCAUUACUACUUCAUUUUAAUUCCUGAAAAAUUUCCUCCCAAGGAUUAGGACCAGGCAUAAUUUCAUCAUGAGUUCCCAGGUUUUUCUAUGGUGAACUGGUACAUCAUGUCAACAUUCCUUAAAAGUCAUGAGACAGGAACUACAAAAAGAUACUAUUUCAUCAUGGCAGCAAAUGUUUCUCAAGUGCAAACCUGCCAUCUGUUAGGCAGAACAAGGAACUAGAAAACCCUUCCUUCUGAAGUAAUUCAGCUGGAUUCUCCAAUUUUGAAGCAUCUGGUUGGUAACUGUGCUGUCAGCAUGAAACUACCUUCUCAGUUUCAAACAUCCCAGUGCUGGAGCCUGAGGAUAGAAUUCCUGUGGUCUAGACACAAACCCCUGCUACUAGGACUUACAGAUGGGGCUGUCCUUUAAGUCUGGAGGGUUAUAGCUCAGAAAUGAUCAAGCAAUCUCUCAACAGUCUUGCAGGAAUGAUCAACAGCUUCUCAGAAUACAGCGGAACAUCUGUUUCCUACAUGUAACUACACCAAACAGAGGCUGCCUUCUCUGUGCACAUGUUGCUCCUGCAGGAGUCCAGUGGCGUGUAAAUUCAAAAGAGCACUUUUGCCCCAUGAUAAACCUCUCAAGGACUGAAGUGCUUUGACUUACAGUGAUUCUUCCAGAGGAUUUUUCCCCAGUUGUUUAAAUAUGGACAUCAACAAGUAUUUAAAGACAAUGCAGGGGCUGGGGAUUUAGCUCAGCGGCAAAAGCGCCUGCCUGGCAAGCGCAAGGUCGUGAGUUCAGUUCCCGGUACCGGAGAAAAAC